rnacentral:rRNA from 1 species
AGUUCAGAUUGUAGGCUGAAACUCGCCUAUAUGAAGUCGGAAUUGCUAGUAAUCGCGGAUCAGCAUGCCGCGGUGAAUACGUUCCCGGGCCUUGUACACACCGCCCGUCACACCAUGAGAGUCGAUAACACCCGAAGCCUGUAGUCUAACCUUAGGGGGGGACNCAGUCGAAGGUGGGAUUGAUAAUUAGGGUGAAGUCGUAACAAGGUACC